UACGUAGGGUGCGAGCGUUGUCCGGAAUUAUUGGGCGUAAAGAGCUUGUAGGCGGUUUGUCGCGUCUGCCGUGAAAUUUCGAGGCUCAACCUCGAACUUGCGGUGGGUACGGGCAGACUAGAGUGUGGUAGGGGAGACUGGAAUUCCUGGUGUAGCGGUGAAAUGCGCAGAUAUCAGGAGGAACACCGAUGGCGAAGGCAGGUCUCUGGGCCACUACUGACGCUGAGGAGCGAAAGUGUGGGGAGCGAACAGG
rnacentral:rRNA from 1 species